GAUGAACGCUGGCGGCGUGCCUAAUACAUGCAAGUCGAGCGAACAGACGAGGAGCUUGCUCCUCUGACGUUAGCGGCGGACGGGUGAGUAACACGUGGAUAACCUACCUAUAAGACUGGGAUAACUUCGGGAAACCGGAGCUAAUACCGGAUAACAUGUUGAACCGCAUGGUUUAACAGUGAAAGACGGUCUUGCUGUCACUUAUAGAUGGAUCCGCGCCGCAUUAGCUAGUUGGUAAGGUAACGGCUUACCAAGGCAACGAUGCGUAGCCGACCUGAGAGGGUGAUCGGACACACUGGAACUGAGACACGGUCCAGACUCCUACGGGAGGCAGCAGUAGGGAAUCUUCCGCAAUGGGCGAAAGCCUGACGGAGCAACGCCGCGUGAGUGAAGAAGGUCUUCGGAUCGUAAAACUCUGUUAUUAGGGAAGAACAAAUGUGUAAGUAACUAUGCACGUCUUGACGGUACCUAAUCAGAAAGCCACGGCUAACUACGUG
rnacentral:rRNA from 1 species